UCUGUUUGAUCCCGGCGGAGGUUACUGCUAUCGAGGUUCGACUAAGCCAUGCGAGUCGAAUGUAGCAAUACAUGGCGUACUGCUCAGUAACACGUGGACAACCUACCCUUAGGUCGGGGAUAAACCCGGGAAACUGGGUAUAAUACCCGAUAGUCCUCGGAUGCUGGAAUGCACCGAGGUCUAAAGCUCCGGCGCCUAAGGAUGGGUCUGCGGCCUAUCAGGUAGUAGUGGGUGUAGCGUACCUACUAGCCUACGACGGGUACGGGUUGUGAGAGCAAGAGCCCGGAGAUGGAUUCUGAGACACGAAUCCAGGCCCUACGGGGUGCAGCAGGCGCGAAAACUUUACAAUGCUGGAAACAGCGAUAAGGGGACCUCGAGUGCCAGGUUACAAAUCUGGCUGUCGUGAUGCCUAAAAAGCAUUGCAUAGCAAGGGCCGGGCAAGACCGGUGCCAGCCGCCGCGGUAACACCGGCGGCUCGAGUGGUAACCGCUAUUAUUGGGCCUAAAGGGUCUGUAGCCGGCCGGAUAAGUCUCUUGGGAAAUCUGGCAGCUUAACUGUCAGGCUUUCAGGAGAUACUGUCUGGCUCGAGGCCGGGAGAGGUGAGAGGUACUCAGGGGUAGGGGGAAAUCUUGUAUCUGAAGGACCACC
rnacentral:rRNA from 1 species